CUGAUUGCAAAGCAUCUGACAGACCUGCUGUUAGUGUGGGUAGUGUACAAAAUACCCAAAGGCCUAAGUGUCAACAUUAUGGAAGAAGUCACCCCGGUGAAUGUAGAAGUAAGUUAGGGGCUUGUUAUAAAUGUGGGGCCACUGAUCACUUUAUUCGUGAUUGUCCCCAAUUACAAGUAGAAGAAGUGGAACAGAGGGAGAAACAGAAAAUUCUUCCUCAAAAAGGAAGACGCUCUGGUCAGAGCAAUGCUACAAGGGCUACUCGUUCGGGUAUAAAAGAUACUGCUAGCCAAUCAGAAGUUAGUGCUCCUGCUCGUACUUAUGCCAUUCGAGCGAGAGAAGAAGCAACAGCUCCAGAUGUAAUUGCUGAUCAAGAAAACGAACUGAAUCGUGGAAAGGAGAAAAUUCAAGAAUAGUCCCUGAAUUUCUACGACUUUUGCAAAUUAGUCCAGAUUGACUUGAAGUGAAGUGGGUAGAUCGGAUCAACACAACAGGGCACACUAUUCAGAUCAAUUCUGGUAGUUUUUGUUUUAUGUUUAAAGAUUUAUAUGGCAUGUAUAGAGUUUGAAUGAAUUGAAGUAAAGAUGUUAUGAACUAGUUAACAAUAUUUGUACUAAAACAGUUUUGGUAAGUAGCAGUAGUUUGACUUUGAAAAUUCACCAUAAAUUUUGGAAA